rnacentral:rRNA from 1 species
UACGUAGGGUGCAGGCGUUAAUCGGAAUUACUGGGCGUAAAGCGUGCGCAGGCGGUUAUGUAAGACAGGUGUGAAAUCCCCGGGCUUAACCUGGGAACUGCAUUUGUGACUGCAUAGCUAGAGUACGGUAGAGGGGGAUGGAAUUCCGCGUGUAGCAGUGAAAUGCGUAGAUAUGCGGAGGAACACCGAUGGCGAAGGCAAUCCCCUGGACCUGUACUGACGCUCAUGCACGAAAGCGUGGGGAGCAAACGGG